rnacentral:rRNA from 1 species
UAGGGAAUCUUCGGCAAUGGGGGGAACCCUGACCGAGCAACGCCGCGUGAGUGAAGAAGGUUUUCGGAUCGUAAAGCUCUGUUGUUAAGGAAGAACGAGUGUGAGAAUGGAAAGUUCAUACUGUGACGGUACUUAACCAGAAAGGGACGGCUAACUACGUGCCAGCAGCCGCGGUAAUACGUAGGUGGCAAGCGUUAUCCGGAAUUAUUGGGCGUAAAGCGCGCGUAGGCGGUCAAUUAAGUCUGAUGUGAAAGCCCCCGGCUCAACCGGGGAGGGUCAUUGGAAACUGGUUGACUUGAGUGCAGAAGAGGAGAGUGGAAUUCCAUGUGUAGCGGUGAAAUGCGUAGAUAUAUGGAGGAACACCAGUGGCGAAGGCGACUCUCUGGUCUGUAACUGACGCUGAGGCUCGAAAGCGUGGGUAGCAAACAGG